rnacentral:rRNA from 1 species
UGGGGAAUAUUGCACAAUGGAGGAAACUCUGAUGCAGCGACGCCGCGUGAGUGAAGAAGUAUUUCGGUAUGUAAAGCUCUUUCGGCAGGGAAGAUAAUGACGGUACCUGCAGAAGAAGCACCGGCUAAAUACGUACCAGCAGCCGCGGUAAUACGUAUGGUGCAAGCGUUAUCCGGAUUUACUGGGUGUAAAGGGGGCGCAGGUGGCGAGGCAAGUCAGAAGUGAAAGCCCGGGGCUCAACCCCGGGACUGCUUUUGAAACUGUCUGGCUGGAGUGCAGGAGAGGUGAGUGGAAUUCCCAGUGUAGCGGUGAAAUGCGGAGAUAUUGGGAAGAACACCAGUGGCGAAGGCGGCUCACUGGACUGUAACUGACACUGAGGCCCGAAAGCGUGGGGAGCAAACAGGAUUAGAUACCCUGGUAGU